AGCCAUGUGAAAUCGUCCACAAACUGGAAUUUCUUCCUCUGUCAUGGAUCAGUUCCACUGAUUGCAUGGCUACAUAAUGUCCAGGUUUGCUUUCAUCUCUGCACCAUUGAUUGCUGAGGUGACAAUGAGGCCUGGGACAUCU
rnacentral:snoRNA from 1 species